rnacentral:rRNA from 1 species
AUUGAACGCUGGCGGCAGGCCUAACACAUGCAAGUCGAACGAGUCGCGGACGGGAGAGUUAUGUCUGGGAAACUGCGUGAUGGAGGGGGAACACUUGUGGAAACUGUAUCAAAUACCGCAUACUAUCGGAUGCGCCCAUAUGGGAUUAUUUUGUAGGUGGGGUAAAGGCUCACCUAGGCGACGAGCCCUAGCUGGUCUGAGAGGAUGACCAGCCACACUGGAACUGAGACACGGUCCAGACUCCUACGGGAGGCAGCAGUGGGGAAUAUUGCACAAUGGGCGAAAGCCUGAUGCAGCCAUGCCGCGUGUGUGAAGAAGGCCUUCGGGUUGUAAAGUACUUUAAGCGGGGAGGCGUUACCAGCAGAAGAAGCACCGGCUAACUCCGUGCCAGCAGCCGCGGUAAUUC